GGGAAGGUAGCUCAGUAGUACAGCGCUUGCCUCACAUGCAUGAAGCCCUGGGUUCGAUUCCCCAGCACCA
rnacentral:tRNA from 1 species